UGAGAGAAAUACUAAGGCUGUUCAAAGAACACCUAGACGACGAAGUUGGGAAAAGAAAAGAUAUAUCAGAUCCUAGAGUUCAGGUUCAACACUGUCAUUAUCCUAAACUAUUUGUGUAAGUAAUUCAUUGUGUUUGACACACUAAUUUAAUGUAGGGCGGGGAUUCCAAGAAAUUCAAGGCACUUCUGGCUGAUCGAAAAGGAAAAGGUGGGCAUUAUUCCGUGGUUGAUACUGUCUAGUGUCUACUAGAGUCAGCAAAUCUAUCCGCCGAAGAAUAUUCAAGUAGGAGCAGAAAGUAAAAGCGAUACUGACCAGUUUUUGAACCUUCCCUUUUUAUGUCUAAUAUAUGUUAUUGUCAAUUCAUUUGGGAUCUGUAAAUUGGAUGCGCCACACCUCUGUAAGGAGUACCCAUUUUUUAUUUUUUUUCUAGAAGAAGGAACAAAUGCAGUGAGUUUGAAGUCAUGUUUGAAAGGAGCACUUCUAUAUCUUUUGUAGUCGCAGUGCUGGACACAAUUUGCACGAUCACGUCAGCCUUGUGGUUGAGGCUACUGUGCGGUCGGUUGAGCUACGUUGGCUUAGUUCAGCUGCAACAGUCACAAUUAGGUGUUUCGCCUCUUGUUGCAUAUGGUGGUGGUGGUGGUGCCUUUUGAGUACCUAGUCGUUAUAAGUUAGUUCCUUAUGUUUUAAGUAUCAACUUUGCUAUCUUUCUAUUAAGUUCCCGGUGCAUUCUUAGUUUGGCAUAUUCGGUCCCUGCCAAGUUAGUUACUGGCAGGGCCAGCUGUAGCUAUCCGUUGGUUAGAUGCUGUAAUUAUUCCCUUUGAGGAGAUAUGAAUGAAUCUAUCUAAGUGCAGCCCAAGAUUUCUUUUUGUUAUCUGUGCAUUUCCUUU